rnacentral:lncRNA from 1 species
CACUGUUUAAGUUUAUGACUGAAAUAUUCUGUUAACUGAGCCAGUCAAUUUCUGUUUGACUUAGGAUAUGGCUUCUUUUACCUUUGAUAUUACCACAUGCCUGUUUUGGAAGUGGCUGUUUUCACUGGGCUCCCAAUGACCUAAACCACACCCCCACACGGUCUUCUUCUUUCCCGUCAGAAGGAAGUGGUGUGCAUAUGUGCACCUGUGUGCAUGUGUGUGUCAGAGAGAGACGGGGAGAAGAGCGAGACUGGAUGGAAAGAAUCUCUCCCUGAGUGAGGGAGAUUUUGAAUCAUUUUUUGGGAGAUUUGUGUGUUAUUUUCCCGUUGUUUGUUUUUAGUUUUAAAAAUCUUCUCUAGAGCUAUGGAUGGCUGUGUCAUUUUUGUUGCUGUUGAGCUACAAGAAAAAUGCUGGCAGUUGUGACAGAUUAUUAAGCCAGAAAAAUUUCUUGAAGAAAAUAUCCUCAUCUGUUAUGCAUUCUUGCUCCUCCUUCGUCUGGUGCACCCCACAUCUGUGAAUGGAAAGUGUCUACAGGACUGUGGUACUCUCUGGAUGAAUCCCACUGCUCUUCCGUGGAGUUGCUUCCGGUGGAGGGC